rnacentral:rRNA from 1 species
GACGAACGCUGGCGGCGUGCUUAACACAUGCAAGUCGAACGGAAAGGCCCUGCUUUUGUGGUGUGCUCGAGUGGCGAACGGGUGAGUAACACGUGAGUAACCUGCCCUUGACUUUGGGAUAACUUCAGGAAACUGGGGCUAAUACCGGAUAGCAGCUCCUGCUCCAUGGUGGGGGUUGGAAAGUUUCGGCGGUUGGGGAUGGACUCGCGGCUUAUCAGCUUGUUGGUGGGGUAGUGGCUUACCAAGGCUUUGACGGGUAGCCGGCCUGAGAGGGUGACCGGCCACAUUGGGACUGCGAUACGGACCAGACUCCUACGGGAGGCAGCAGUGGGGAAUAUUGCACAAUGGGCGGAAGCCUGAUGCAGCAACGCCGCGUGCGGGAUGACGGCCUGCGGGUUGUAAACCGCUUUCGCCUGUGACGAAGCGUGAGUGACGGUAAUGGGUAAAGAAGCACCGGCUAACUACGUG